rnacentral:rRNA from 1 species
GACGAACGCUGGCGGCGUGCUUAACACAUGCAAGUCGAACGGUGAAGGAGAGCUUGCUCUCCGGAUCAGUGGCGAACGGGUGAGUAACACGUGGGCAACCUGCCCCAGACUUCGGGAUAACGCUUCGAAAGAGGUGCUAAUACCGGAUACGAACUCCUUGGGCAUCCUUGGAGUUGGAAAGUUUUUCGGUCUGGGAUGGGCCCGCGGCCUAUCAGCUUGUUGGUGAGGUAACGGCUCACCAAGGCGACGACGGGUAGCCGGCCUGAGAGGGCGACCGGCCACACUGUGACUGAGACACGGCCCAGACUCCUACGGGAGGCAGCAGUGGGGAAUAUUGCGCAACGGGCGAAAGCCUGACGCAGCAACGCCGCGUGAGGGAUGACGGCCUUCGGGUUGUAAACCUCUUUCAGCAGGGAAGAAGCGAAAGUGACGGUACCUGCAGAAGAAGCACCGGCUAACUACGUGCCAGCAGCCGCCGUAAUAC